rnacentral:rRNA from 1 species
AUGGUACAAUGGCGGUUCACGGGCUUUUAUGGUCAUCCAAACUGGAAUGACCGCAGUUUAUCUUCGGAAGACAUUCGUAAUCUGCAUAGGAAGGGGAACCAUCCUUGGGUAAUUUUGGGGGAUUUCAAUGAAAUAUUAUAUACUUCGGAGAAAGAGGGUGGUAAUAUGAGACCAAAUGGCAUGAUGAGGGAGUUCCGUGAAUGUCUUAUGGACUGUGGUUUGGAGGAUUUAGGAUAUAUCGGCUAUCCCUUUACUUGGAGUAGAGGUGACAUUCGAGAGCGUCUUGACCGUGAAGUGUGCAAUCUAGGGUGGGCUCAUAAAUUUCCUCGUGCGGCUAUGAUUAAUGAAGAACAUGUUCACUCUGACUACCGUCCGGUGGUCCUGGAUAUGAACUAUUUGGGUGAUAAUAUUUUCAGACGAUCGACGGGGUGUGUAAAACAAUUUGAAGCCAAAUGGCUAAAAGAAGAGACUGUUAAUGAAAUCAUGAAGGUAUCUUGGGAAAAAGGUAAGUUAGCAGGCGUUGGUCCUUCCCUUGCUGACCGUACGAAAGCUGUGCAUGCCGAUUUGCACCACUGGGACCAUGAGAUUCUUAAGGGUCCUAAGUGGAGAAUUAAAAAUUGGAAAAAAUAA